rnacentral:rRNA from 1 species
CCUACGGGAGGCAGCAGUAGGGAAUAUUGCUCAAUGGGGGAAACCCUGAAGCAGCAACGCCGCGUGGAGGAUGAAGGUUUUCGGAUUGUAAACUCCUUUUGUUAGAGAAGAUAAUGACGGUAUCUAACGAAUAAGCACCGGCUAAAUCCGUGCCAGCAGCCGCGGUAAUACGGAGGGUGCAAGCGUUACUCGGAAUCUCUGGGCGUAAAGAGCGCGUAGGCGGGAUAGCAAGUCAGAUGUGAAAUCCUAUGGCUUAACCAUAGAACUGCAUUUGAAACUGUUAUUCUAGAGUAUGGGAGAGGUAGGUGGAAUUCUUGGUGUAGGGGUGAAAUGCGUAGAGAUAAGGAGGAAUACUCGUGGCGAAGGCGACCUGCUGGAACAUAACUGACGCUGAUGCGCGAAAGCGUGGGGAGCAAACAGGAUUAGAUACCCUAGUAGUC